rnacentral:rRNA from 1 species
UACAGAGGGUGCAAGCGUUGUUCGGAAUUACUGGGCGUAAAGGGCUCGUAGGCGGCCAACUAAGUCAGACGUGAAAUCCCCAGGCUCAACCUGGGAACUGCGUCUGAUACUGGAUGGCUUGAAUCCGGGAGAGGGAUGCAGAAUUCCAGGUGUAGCGGUGAAAUGCGUAGAUAUCUGGAGGAAUACCGGUGGCGAAGGCGGCAUCCUGGACCGGCAUUGACGCUGAGGAGCGAAAGCCAGGGGAGCAAACGGG